AACCUUUUUGUUGGCAUGCUCACUUUUUGAAACUAGUAAUUACGGGGUCAAAGAGGCAUAAAUCAAUGCUUAUCAGGCUUUUCCUGCCCUUAAAUUUGAUAUUUUAAUAUAGGAGUUGUGUAAGUAAAAAUA
ensembl:snoRNA